GCCCUUAGAGUUUGAUGCCUGGCUCAGAACGAACGCUGGCGGCGUGGAUCAGGCAUGCAAGUUGAACGAGAAAGUACCUUCGGGUGCGAGUAAAGUAGCAAAAGGGGUAGUAAAGAAUAGAUAACGUACCUUUCAGACUGGGGUAACAUUUAGAAAUGAAUGCUAAUACCGGAUACGUUCUCUGUUGCGCAGUGACAGAGAGGAAAGUAGGGGACCUUCGGGCCUUACACUGAGAGAGCGGUCUAUUUCGUAUUAGAUAGUUGGAGAGGUAAUGGCUCACCAAGUCAUAGAUGCGUAGGGGGCCUGAGAGGGUGAUCCCCACCACCGGAACUGAGACACUGUCCGGACACCUACGGGUGGCUGCAGUCGAGAAUCUUCCGCAAUGGACGAAAGUCUGACGGAGCGACGCCGCGUGAGGGAUGAAGGCCCUAGGGUUGUAAACCUCUGACAGGUAUUAUGAAUAAUCAUAAUUUAAUAUGUUAUGAGAUGACAAAGGUACCAGAGGAAGUCACGGCUAAAUACGUGCCAGCAGCCGCGGUAAUACGUAUGUGGCAAGCGUUGUUCGGAAUUACUGGGCAUAAAGAGUUCGUAGGCGGAAUUAUCAGUUGGGUGUGAAAUCCCUCGGCUUACCCGAGGAACUGCAUUCAAUACUGUAAUUCUGGAGUCCUUGAGGGGAAAGCGGAAUUCCAAGUGUAGCGGUGAAAUGCGUAGAUAUUUGGGAGAAGGCCAAUGGCGAAGGCAACUUUCUGGCGAGUGACUGACGCUGAGGAACGAAAGUUAGGGUAUCGAACGGGAUUAGAUACCCCGGUAGUCCUAACCGUAAACUGUGAGCACUAUGUGAUGGUCUCUUCUGAGCGAUCAUUGCAGUAGCAAAUGCGUUAAGUGCUCCGCCUGGGUAGUACGAUCGCAAGGUUGAAACUCAAAGGAAUUGACGGGGGCUCACACAAGCGGUGGAGCAUGUUGCUUAAUUCGAAGCAACGCGAAGAACCUUACCUGGGCUUGAACUGUAGGGAUUAUCUCUAUGAAAGUAGAGUACGCCGACUGGUGGAACCUACAGAGGUGUUGCAUGGCUGUCGUCAGCUCGUGCCGUGAGGUGUUAGGUUAAGUCCUUUAACGAGCGAAACCCUUGCCUUUAUUUACCAGCGGGUUAUGCCGGGAACUAUAGAGGGACUGCCGGUGUCAAACCGGAGGAAGGUGGGGACGACGUCAAGUCAUCAUGGCCCUUAUGUCCAGGGCUGCAAACGUGCUACAAUGGCAACUGCAAUGCGUCGCGAAAUCGUGAGAUGGAGCUAAUCGCCAAAGGUUGCCUCAGUUCGGAUUGUAGGCUGAAACUCGCCUACAUGAAGUUGGAAUCGCUAGUAAUCGGAGGUCAGCUAUACUCCGGUGAAUAUGUUCCUGAGCCUUGUACACACCGCCCGUCAA
rnacentral:rRNA from 1 species